UUAAGUAAAAAAUUUAAAGUAGGUUUUGCCCUAUGAGGAUUAAAUCUUAAAUGGCUGCAGUAUAUUGACUGUGCAAAGGUAGCAUAAUAAUUAGUUUCUUAAUUAGGAGCUGGUAUGAAUGGAUUAAUGAGAGAUUAAUUUUAUUAUUAUUAUUAUUAUAAUUUAAUUUUUAAGUUAAAAAGCUUAAAUUUUUUUUUGGGACGAUAAGACCCUAUAGAACUUUUAAUUCUUUUUGUUAUCUUUAAUUUGGUGAAUUAAAUUAUUUGGGUAAUUUUUUUUAUUUUUUGUUGGGGCGGUGAAUAAAUAUCUAACUUUAUUUUUUUUUUUCAUUAAUAUAUGUUUUUUUGAUCUUACUUUUGUGGAUUAUAAGAUAAAGUUACCUUAGGGAUAACAGCGUAAUUUUAAUGGUAAGUUCAUAUUUAUAUUAAAGUUUGCGACCUCGAUGUUGAAUUAAAAUAAAAUUAAGGGGUAGGUUCUUUAAAUUUAGGUCUGUUCGACCUUUAAAUUCUUACAUGAUCUG
rnacentral:rRNA from 1 species